rnacentral:lncRNA from 1 species
UCCCCCUCAAUCUAUAACCAAAUUCUCAACUACACACUUAUAUUUUAUGAGAGUCCUAUUACCCCCUUGGACUAAUUUAAAGCGAAAUAUAUACCACCCUAAAACUAGAGAACCACAUUCUUCGAAUGUGGUGUGCACACGCGCUACAACUGUCAAAUGCCAUAUAUUUUUUUAAAAAAAGAAGUAAAUGUUGUUCUUCUUCUUCAUUGCCAACAUCAUCUUUACUCUUCUCUUCUCCAUAUUGUUGAGACAUGUUUUUAAUUCUUUUCACUGUAAACUCUCCUAAACCUUAUUUCCCUCCACC